AGAGAGAUUAAAACUGUAUUUUAAAAUAGUUGAUCAUAAACAGCAAGACUGUUUUACAUUCCAGCAAUGUUUUUCCUUUGAAUGGUACCCAAGUUUAAAACAAGUAACAAGUCCACAAGCUAGACAGUUUAAUCACCCUUCUCUUUGAAACUUUCUUCUUAUCUCAUAUUCAUGUGAUCUUUCCAAAUGAGCACAUUUAGAAGACAUUCAGAUCUAGUGAAUGCUCUUCCCUGGCAGCAUCAACUCCAGGACCUGGAUUAAUCAUGAUUAACCAAAGACCCUUCACAUUUGUCCUGUGGCAUCUGCAGUCAUUUGCCCUGAAUUUUUGUCACUUUGCCACAGUUGGGAUCCUUGCUAAUGACAGCAUUCAGCAAACGGACAGACUCAUGUUUUUCAUCUUCCCUGGGAGGGACAGUGUUUAUCUGCAGAAGUAUUUGACAGUUUUUCUGUCAAAUUUGACAAACUGCCAAAAUUUGACAAUUUUUCUAAUGACCAGUCUUCUAUGAAUGGAUAUUUAGACUGUUUCUAUUUCUGAGAGGGUCAACAAACACCCCAGUACACAGGCUCAAUACCACACGGUUGAACUGCUAGGCCAAAGAGCAUGUGCCUUUCAAAUUCAGAGAAACGUGGCAAAUUAACUCUCCAGAAAAGAUGGCAUCAGUGUCCCAUCCACUAGGCCUGUGUCCCACACACCAAGGCCAGAAGUGGGUAUUAUCAGACUUAACAUUUGCCAAUCUGAUGGUACAAAAUAGAAUCUUUUUGGAUGGAUGUUUUGCUUUAUGUUUCUUUAAUUGGGAGGAUCAGGGUCAGAAUCUGUAGCCCUGGCUUUCUGAGAGGUGCUGUACAAAUAAUACCCACUGGCCAGGAAUAAAGAGACCUGGCUUGCAUACCCGCUUCUUGGCCUUGAGACCAUGGGCAGGUCAUCUGACCACUUCUCACCUGAGCCUCCUCAUCUGCCGAAGUCUCUGCCUGGCCUGCUCCUGCCUCCUAGCAUGCUAACCGUGUGGAAGUGGCAAUUAAAAAUCAGACAAGACCCCGACCCCCUGCCGCCAAAAAAAUGUCAGGGGUGAUUUUGAUGAUGACAGCUAGGGCACAGCUACUUGGGGCCAGCUUAAAGGGAUAUGGUGAGGGUUGUUCCCCAACUCCAACCACUUCCAAGUGUAAAGUUGUGGGGGAGAUACAUGGGUAUGUCUGAGCGUGGGGGGAACAAGAGCUCAAAUUGCUUAAAGAAAAAGCCAUAGUGAGCUUCUCGGCCUGUUGGCUAAGAUCAAGAACAAGCCAUCGUGGCUUAUCCCAGCCCAACAAGUGACACCUCUACUGCAGACUGUCCCUGAGUGAUGUACCUCAUGCGGCUCUUGUGAACAAAGGAUUCUGUGGACAAGUUUGGCAAAUGCUACAACUAUAUCCCCCGUUAAGAAUUUUAUAAUGCCCAUUUGCUGAAAAGCCUGGCAAUUCAUAAAUAUUAAAUUUUAUUUAACCCAGAAUUUCCGAAACUCUUGUUUGACUACAAAAGCUUUACCGUUUUUUCUCUUUCUUCUUCUUUUUUUUUAAAGAUCAUAGUCCAAUGCAGCCUUGAACUCCUGGGCUCAAGUGAUCCUCUCACCUCAGCCUCCUAAGCAGCUAGGAUUACAGGCACCAGAUGUCCAUGUAUUAGGUGUUUGGUUUACUUUAUGAAAUUUCAGAGCCAGAGGAA